AUUGAACGCUGGCGGCAGGCCUAACACAUGCAAGUCGAACGGUAGCACAGAGAGCUUGCUCUCGGGUGACGAGUGGCGGACGGGUGAGUAAUGUCUGGGAAACUGCCCGAUGGAGGGGGAUAACUACUGGAAACGGUAGCUAAUACCGCAUAACGUCGCAAGACCAAAGUGGGGGACCUUCGGGCCUCACACCAUCGGAUGUGCCCAGAUGGGAUUAGCUAGUAGGUGGGGUAAUGGCUCACCUAGGCGACGAUCCCUAGCUGGUCUGAGAGGAUGACCAGCCACACUGGAACUGAGACACGGUCCAGACUCCUACGGGAGGCAGCAGUGGGGAAUAUUGCACAAUGGGCGCAAGCCUGAUGCAGCCAUGCCGCGUGUAUGAAGAAGGCCUUCGGGUUGUAAAGUACUUUCAGCGGGGAGGAAGGCGGUGGAAGCUAAUACCUUUCAUCUGUGACGUUACCCACAGAAGAAGCACCGGCUAACUCCGUGCCAGCCGCCGCGGUAA
rnacentral:rRNA from 1 species